rnacentral:lncRNA from 1 species
AAACCUCAUAGACAAAUCAUGUCUCCUCCUCCUACUUUCUCUUCUUGCUCGUACCAGUCACCGAACUAGCCAGAGGUUUCGUCGCCGGCGAACGCAACCUACUCAAUCGACCACCAAAAGAACACCCCAUAUUCUCUUUCUAUUCCUCAUUCCAAAUAUCAAUAUGGUUUUCCUCGAAUCCUCUCACAUUUUGUCGAAUCUUCAUUGGAAUAUUUUCUGUCGACGAUGCAUGUUACGCCAAAUGAUCCCAAAAUAACACCAUAAGACCUCCUUGGCAUCCCCUACACAAAUCUCAUAGCCGCUUGGCAUGAAUGUGGCUAGAAAGACUCAAAUAUCCGAUUCAAUUUUCUGGCCAAAAACCUAAAAUGGCCACAAUUCAUGCAACUGAUGACAAAAGGCCCCUAGGCCUCCCUUGCAAGAAUUGGUAAUCAGUGGAGCUUAAAUGACCCCAAAAUUGGCUGAGUUCUGGGAAUAACGACUAAUGGCCGGAGUUAUCCGUUUAUUAGUGAGUUGUACAAUUUCUUUCAAUUAAACCUUCCUCGUGUGUUUAUGCUUUCUGCUUCAUGUUCUAUUAGUUAAUAAGUAUCCUAAAAUGUUAAAUUAGUUUUGAUAAUGAUUUGGGGGUUUUGUUGCGUCUUUCAUUUGGGUGUUAAAUGUUGGCUUAACUCAGCUUAAUUAGGUUGUUAGUUUUGAUGCAGAAUUUAGUGAUUAGUUAAUUCUUGUCAAUUUCUUUGAUUGAUUUCUGUAGUUAAGUGUCGUUUUAUUAUUUUGGUUGGAUAAAUAUAGAUUUUAGUUAAACAUGGUUUCAAAUUUGUUUAAUCUCGGAUGAAAUGGCUUAAUGUUCUUCAUUAGUCUAAUGGUUUAAGGAGUAAAUGUUUUUUGAUCCAGUUUAGUUUAGUUAGUGAAGCCUUAGGCUAAUUAAUUAAUAGAGGGAAAAUUUGGGAAUUUCAUUUGCGGGCUGAAUCUGGGAAAUGCUAGAAUCUUCUAAAUGGGGACCUAUAGAUAGUUUCAGAGAACAGUGGUAGUUACUUGGUUAGCAAGGCAAUAAGUUGGGGGGUAAAAAUAAUAAUAAAGAGGGACCGAAAGGGUAAUUUUGAAAACUUGGUUCAGCUAUAAAUACAAGGUGCAUUGCCUUGUGAAGGGGUCUUCAAUUUUCAACCCUUAAAACUACCAUAGAAAACUCUUUUCCAUCAUUUUAGUUUCAGAUUUGGCUUUGAAUUCAAGUCAAGAAAAAAAAACAAAAAACAAAUCAAAAAUAGCAAAAAUAGUCGAUGUUUCAUUAGAGUUUCAGUCUGAGUUUGAGUUGAUUUUUGCAUCAAGCUUUCCUUAUUUGGCUCAAAGGUUUAAACUGGUUUUCGAGUGUUAAUUGUUGUUGGAUUCUAGAAUUACUGGUUGAUUUCAAUGGGUUUGUUUGAAGAUGUGUGUCCUUGUUGUGUUGUUGUGGUGAAUUUAUAGUCCAUUUUGGUCACUUGAGGAUUGCUUUGGGCUGAGUUUCUCCAGCCUGAUUUUACUCACAAUCUCCUGGUUUAUUCACACAAGUUUGGUUGUGUUUUCUGCCUAAAUUUUGUUGUUGUUGGUUAUUGCUUUGCUGCUGAUUACUUUUCCUCUUACUUUACUUCAAUUCCAGGUACAUACCUUGGGCCUGAUUCGAUGUAGCCUUUCAAGUUGAAAAAUAAAAUGGAAACACUCGCAUAUUUUCUCCUUAGACUGUGUUUGUUAGACUGUUACAUGUUAAUAUUGAACAAAUUUUUGACAUAGAUCAAUUUUUGAUCUAUGUGUAUAAACAUGGAUGGUAUAAUUGGACUCUAUAUCUUGACUAUAUCAUUUGUGAAUUGGUCUUCAUGCACGCAUUUAAUACUUGGAUGUUGUAGCAGAGUAAUACUAUUGUAGAUGUUCAAUUGUUGUCACUAAUGGUAUAUUUCAUAUAGUGUAAUUUGGGUGUUCAGUUGUAGCUGUAGUAACUCUUGUACUUAGCUUCAUAACCGUUGUAGUAGUUGUUAGAGUUUAAUAUUGAGAAUGUGGAACUUAGCAAUAAUUCGCAUAGGUUUCUGUUAGAUAAUACGCUUAACGCUAGAGGGGGAGGGGGUGAAUAGCGUUAUGAUAAAAAUUAGCGUAAACUUGCGGAAUUUAAAAAUUGCAGG